GACGAACGCUGGCGGCGUGCUUAACACAUGCAAGUCGAACGGAAAGGCCCUGCUAUUGUGGGGUGAUCGAGUGGCGAACGGGUGAGUAACACGUGAGUAACCUGCCCUUGACUUUGGGAUAACUUCAGGAAACUGGGCCUAAUACCGGAUAGGAGCUCCUGCUGCAUGGUGGGGGUUGGAAAGUUGCGGCGGGUGGGGAUGGACUCGCGGCUUAUCAGCUUGUUGGUGGGGGAGUGGCUUACCAAGGGUUUGACGGGUCGCCGGCCCGAGAGGGUGACCGGCGACAAUGGUCCUGAGAGACGGACCAGAGGGCAACGGGAGGCAGCAGUCGGAAACAUGGCACAGUGGGCGCACGUCUGAUGCAGCAACGUCGCGUUCGGGAUGACGGUUUGCGGGGUGAAAACAGCUUUAGCCUGUGACGAAGCGUGUGUGACGGUAAUGGGUAAAGAAGCACCGGCUAACUACGUG
rnacentral:rRNA from 1 species